rnacentral:piRNA from 1 species
AGGCUGGGCAGCGGUGGCGCACA